rnacentral:rRNA from 1 species
ACAAUGGCAUAUACAAAGAGAAGCGACCUCGCGAGAGCAAGCGGACCUCAUAAAGUAUGUCGUAGUCCGGAUUGGAGUCUGCAACUCGACUCCAUGAAGUCGGAAUCGCUAGUAAUCGUAGAUCAGAAUGCUACGGUGAAUACGUUCCCGGGCCUUGUACACACCGCCCGUCACACCAUGGGAGUGGGUUGCAAAAGAAGUAGGUAGCUUAACCUUCGGGAGGGCGCUUACCACUUUGUGAUUCAUGACUGGGGUGAAGUCGUAACAAGGUAGCCGUAGGGGAACCUGCGGCUGGAUCACCUCCUUACCUUAAAGAA